rnacentral:rRNA from 1 species
UGGGGAAUAUUGCACAAUGGGCGCAAGCCUGAUGCAGCAACGCCGCGUGAGCGAUGAAGGCCUUCGGGUCGUAAAGCUCUGUCCUCAAGGAAGAAUAAAUGACGGUACUUGAGGAGGAAGCCCCGGCUAACUACGUGCCAGCAGCCGCGGUAAUACGUAGGGGGCAAAGCGUUAUCCGGAAUCACUGGGCGUAAAGGGUGCGUAGGCGGUUUUUCAAGUCAGAAGUGAAAGGCUAUGGCUCAACCAUAGUAAGCUUUUGAAACUGUAAAACUUGAGUGCAGGAGAGGAAAGUGGAAUUCCUAGUGUAGAGGUGAAAUUCGUAGAUAUUAGGAGGAACACCAGUGGCGAAG